CGCCCAAGUGAACAGACAUUGGUUGAGAACUAUGAAGCACGCCCUUCUCUGCCCCACUACAAAAGCCCGUUGAUGGAAGUCAAACUCAGUUGGGACUGGUGUCUAUACGUUUUAAAGGGCUAAUUACAACGUGGAGGUGACGAUCGCCACGCUGGAAGGAUGAAUUUCGCCAAGACCAGACAGAAUACAGCACGAUCUUAGUAUGGCAACUUGUGGAUCCUUCUCGUUUGGAGCCUAAACUGCCUAUGGAUAGAUCCCAGCCAGUGCCACUGCAUGCUGUGACAAGGGCCUGGAUGGUGACACACAUCUGCUUCCAGCUGCCUGCCUGAAUACUGGGGCAUACAGUGGUACCUUCCCUUUGAUUACAGCAAGAGUCUCCUUAUCUCUAUCUCACAGCCAUUUAACAUGUACUGUAUGUAACCACUGAAAUUCAUAACUGCUAUGAACACAAGAACGGAAUUAUAUUCACUUGUCCCUGGCUGCAUUUAGACAAGCAGCCCAAUUAUUAUUUUUUUCCCACUAAUUUGUCUUUUGACCAAUCACAUCAGAUCUUUUCACAUCAGCUCUUUUUCAGAGCUGAUCUGAUUGGUGAAAAUACCAAUUUGUGAAAAAAAGAUCUAAACGCAAACUAUUUGUCCUAUUCUUCAGUCUUAUCUGGGAUAUAUAUUUAGUUGGCACACCUGUGUGAUGUCCUUUUAUACAUGACUAAAAAUGUAUUCACCCUGUAUAUGAGACUGCAUUGAUUUUAGACCUGUUGGAAUCAUAAGCUGUAAGAGUUGUCUUGAUGGAGAAAGUCUGCAUGUUGUCAGAUGUUUAAGUUACCAUGGUAGUGAGCCUGUUCUCAUUUUUGCU
rnacentral:lncRNA from 1 species